rnacentral:rRNA from 1 species
AUGACCGAAAUGACUGGCUCGGCGAAGUACCUGUACCCGCCGAGAGAGGGCCUGAGGCUUCCGUAUUCGACCGUCGGAAGGCUGCUGGUCGGUCCUCGAGCCAUCGGUGUUCAGAGUCAGAGGGGGGAAGGCUUCUUCAAAGACAACAGGAAAUCCCUAGCCCCAAACUACUCCCCCUACACCCCGAUUGAAGCAGACAUGUUUGCCCGCGCAAGGAAGGUGUGCCACAUUGCGCUCCCGUCACUGAAUCCCCAUGACUCCUUCCAUUCGCUUCUCAUUGUGAGUGUUCAGUUGCCUACCUAUCCCACUACCAUGUUCGGUGGGAACGACAGCGACGGUGUAAGCCCGGUCCUGUAUUUGAAGAUAUUCAAUAGCUUCGACAAGGAGAUUUCUCCUCGGCUCAAGGACAGCAUCAAGAGUGUGAUGAAUGAGGAAACGAAGAAGGUCAAGGGGUUCCCGGGGGACAACAACAUGCCCUACACAGAGAGGCUGAAAAUCCUGGCCGGCAGCUCAGCACCCUGA